UACGUAGGGUGCGAGCGUUGUCCGGAAUUAUUGGGCGUAAAGAGCUCGUAGGCGGUCUGUCGCGUCGAUCGUGAAAACUUGGGGGCUUAACCCUGAGCUUGCGGUCGAUACGGGCAUGACUGGAGUUCGGCAGGGGAGACUGGAAUUCCUGGUGUAGCGGUGAAAUGCGCAGAUAUCAGGAGGAACACCGGUGGCGAAGGCGGGUCUCUGGGCCGAUACUGACGCUGAGGAGCGAAAGCGUGGGGAGCGAACGG
rnacentral:rRNA from 1 species